rnacentral:rRNA from 1 species
UAAUACGUAGGGGGCAAGCGUUGUCCGGAAUCAUUGGGCGUAAAGCGCGUGUAGGCGGCUUGGUAAGUCUGCUCUGAAAGCCCGGGGCUCAACCCCGGGAGGCGGGUGGAUACUGUCAAGCUCGAGUCCGGAAGAGGAGUGUGGAAUUCCUGGUGUAGCGGUGAAAUGCGCAGAUAUCAGGAGGAACACCAAUGGCGAAGGCAGCACUCUGGGACGUGACUGACGCUGAGACGCGAAAGCGUGGGGAGCAAACAGGAUUAGAUACCCUGGUAGUCCACGCCGUAAACGAUGGGCACUAGGUGUGGGGGGUGUCGACUCCCUCCGUGCCGAAGCUAACGCAUUAAGUGCCCCGCCUGGGGAGUACGGCCGCAAGGCUA